GUAAAAUAUAAUGUUGAGUUAAAAAUGUUUGCAACAUUUUAAGUGAGAUUUAAGUUUGAUUUUUAGGGUAAAACAUAUAGAUCGUUCUGUGCAAAAAGUUAUUUAUACAAUAAAGUAAGUUAAUUUAGAUAAAAAGAUACAGAACUUAUCUAAACUAUAGGCCAUUUUGAAUCGACUAUUUAACAUUUUAAAAUUUCAAUUUUACUACCCGACCUUUCAUUUUAUUAAUUUGAAUCAUUCAACGGUACUUUGACUUUAAAAUUUAAGCCAAUCAUUUACUUUAAUAAAUUUACAGUUACGAGAAUCGUAUAAAGUAUACUAACUAAAUGUGUAAAGAUAAAUGAUGCAUUCGAAUUUUAAAGUAAAAAAUACUGUUGACUGACUCAAAUCAAACAAAUUGAAAAUUGAUAAUAAAAUUAAAUUUUGAACAAUUGAACAGCCAAAUAAAAAUAGUUCAUAGUUCAGAUAAGUUUUGUACUUAUUCAUCACGAACUUACCCAACCCGAAUCCUAUU
rnacentral:lncRNA from 1 species